rnacentral:lncRNA from 1 species
CUACCAUCAAGAUUUAGAACACUGCCAUAAGCCCUAAACAAUUUUUCACGCUCCUUUGAAGUCAAUCUCUCCACUCUUGAACCCAGGUCUUUGGACUUAGUCUAGAACUAUACUACUGGCUCUCCUGGGUCUCCAGCUUGCCUACUGCAGAUAACGGGACUUCUCAGACUCCAUUAGUGCAUGAGACAAUUCCUUAAAAUAAAUCUGUGUGUAUGUUAUUGUAUCAAUAAAAUAUAUAUGUAUCCUAUUGGUUCUGUUUCUCCGGAGAACCCAGAUUAAUACAAAAUACUAC